GCCGGGAUAGCUUAGUGGAAAAGCAGGGGUUUUGUAAACCUCGGACGGGGGUUCGAUUCCUCUUCCCGGCU
rnacentral:tRNA from 1 species